UACGUAGGGGGCAAGCGUUGUCCGGAAUUACUGGGCGUAAAGCGCACGUAGGCGGAUUGUUAAGUUAGGGGUGAAAUCCCAGGGCUCAACCCUGGAACUGCCUUUAAUACUGGCAAUCUCGAGUCCGAGAGAGGUGAGUGGAAUUCCGAGUGUAGAGGUGAAAUUCGUAGAUAUUCGCAAGAACACCAGUGGCGAAGGCGGCUCACUGGCCCGGUACUGACGCUGAGGCACGAAAGCGUGGGGAGCAAACAGG
rnacentral:rRNA from 1 species